rnacentral:rRNA from 1 species
CCUACGGGAGGCUGCAGUCGAGAAUCAUGCACAAUGGGGGAAACCCUGAUGCUGCGACGCCGCGUGGGGGAAUGAAGGUUUCGGGAUUGUAAACUCUUGUCACGUGGAAGCAAAUUACAAAGCUUGUAUCACAAGAGCCAGAGACGGCUAACUCUGCGCCAGCAGCCGUGGUAAUACGGAGGUCUCAAGCGUUGUUCGGAAUCACUGGGCGUAAAGUGUGCGUAGGCUGUUGCGUAAGUUGUAUGUGAAAGGCGCGGGCUCAACCCGCGGACGGCAUAUGAUACUGUGAGUCUAGAGUGACGGAGAGGCAAGCGGAAUUCUCGGUGUAGCAGUGAAAUGCGUAGAUA